GACGGAGGAUGCAAGCGUUAUCCGGAAUUAUUGGGCGUAAAGCGUCCGUAGGCGGUUUCAAAAGUCUGUUGUUAAAGCCCACAGCUCAACUGUGGAUCGGCGAUGGAAACUGUGAGACUAGAGAGUGGUAGGGGUAGAGGGAAUUCCUAGUGUAGCGGUGAAAUGCGUAGAUAUUAGGAAGAACACCAGUGGCGAAGGCGCUCUACUGGGCCAUUACUGACGCUGAUGGACGAAAGCUAGGGGAGCGAAAGGG
rnacentral:rRNA from 1 species